rnacentral:tRNA from 1 species
AGCCCAGAAAUUAUCGGACUGCAAACUCGAUUUUGGGUAUGUUUACCCCUGGGCUU